AAGGAUCUUUGUGUGAAAUUUUGAACAGAAACUGCCUUAAAACCUGGACUAACAUCAACAACAUAUAGAUUUGGGAAGCCCGAUUCUCAGCUGAAGGAAGCAGAAUUACAUGAUAAAAGAGCUCCUGCUUAAUAAAAAAUUAUGUGAACCCUAAUUUCUAAAAAUAUUGAUGGGGGUAUUAUCUAUUUAUAUGCAAUUCUGAAAGACUUAUAUCCAUCUUAAUGGCUGGAAAUGUCCUUCAAAUUUUCCAUCUGCCCUGGAAUAUGUCUAAUGUGAUAACAAACAGGAAAUUGACUGGGCUGAGGGACAUGCAGUUCUGUUUUGUACCAUAAAAUAUAUGAGGCUGCUGACAUUGCAUAUUAAUUAGCUGAUCCUUUCCUUUCCAAAUUAAGAGCCCAGUUGUGUAUUACUCGCAUGGAUGUAAAGCUUCACUCUGUGGUUUUGGAUGCCUGGAGAUCUCAUUCACUAAAUAUUUUUGGAGCACUUAGUAUUUUUUAGGAUCUUCCAGCCUUGGCAAGGAAUGAGAGAUGAGGUCUCCCUAUUUUGCUCAGGCUGGUCCUGAACUCCUGGACUCAAGCUAUCCUCCCCAAGCAAUGCCUUUCAGUGUUGGGAUUACAGGCAUGAGCCACCACACCUGGGCUAAUGCAUGGUUUUAAGGCACCAUGCAGUACAGCUGCAACAUGCAACUGGUGUUGGUGAGUCAGCUUCAACCAGAGGAACAAAAGCAACAACCUGGAAGACGAUGGAGGAUCUAAACAGAAGGCUCGGGGCUCCUCAUCCUGGCAGAGCAUCCUCACCUGCCCAUUCAUCCCCUGCUAUCCACCUUCCCCAGAGCAUUUUCUGUAUAAGAAAG
rnacentral:lncRNA from 1 species